rnacentral:rRNA from 1 species
GACGAACGCUGGCGGCGUGCUUAACACAUGCAAGUCGAACGGAAAGGCUCCAGCUUGCUGGAGUACUCGAGUGGCGAACGGGUGAGUAACACGUGGGUAAUCUGCCCUGCACUCUGGGAUAAGCCUGGGAAACUGGGUCUAAUACUGGAUAUGACCUUUCUCCUUAUGGGGUUUGGUGGAAAGUUUUUUGGUGUAGGAUGAGCCCGCGGCCUAUCAGCUUGUUGGUGGGGUGAUGGCCUACCAAGGCGACGACGGGUAGCCGGCCUGAGAGGGUGAUCGGCCACAUUGGGACUGAGAUACGGCCCAGACUCCUACGGGAGGCAGCAGUGGGGAAUAUUGCACAAUGGGCGGAAGCCUGAUGCAGCGACGCCGCGUGAGGGAUGACGGCCUUCGGGUUGUAAACCUCUUUCAGCAGGGACGAAGCGUAAGUGACGGUACCUGCAGAAGAAGCACCGGCUAACUAUGUG